rnacentral:tRNA from 1 species
GGGCAAUUAACUCAGUGGUAGAGUGCUUCCUUCACAUGGAAGAAGUCAACAGUUCAAAUCUGUUAUUGCCUA